rnacentral:tRNA from 1 species
CAGGGGUUAGUUUAAUUAAAACUUAAGUUUUGGAGACUUAAAAUAGACUCUGUCUACCCCUGA